rnacentral:misc_RNA from 1 species
AACCUAGCACACCUGCGGUGUGUACCUGCGGAGGGAUCAUUAUCGAGUUACCACUCUAUAACCCUUUGUGAACAUACCUACAUGUUGCUUCGGCGGUCGGCCCCCCGGGCCCCCGGCCCCGCUCACGCGGGGCGUCCGCCGGAGGAUAACCAAACUCUGAUUUAACGACGUUUCUUCUGAGUGGCACAAGCAAAUAAUCAAAACUUUCAACAACGGAUCU